ACAGGAAUUCUACAGAGGGGGGACGUUUUCUGCAGGCAUGCAGUCACACGGAAUCCCUCCAGGAGUAAUGAGUAAAGUUAUUCACAUGUCUAAAGACAGGACCUUAUGUACUAUGCGUAAGUAGGAGGAGAGUGGAGAAGUUGUCACAGACAAAUCCUUCUAUAUUCUUUUAGGUUGCAUUUUUUAAUCAAGUCUGGUAGGUUUUCAUGGAAUUCUGUGUAUAUGUUGAAUUAGAUAUGACAAACUAGGAAAUGCCCCUUGAACUGCGCCCCUCUUAGAAACAUACUUUUGUUGCAUUCAUGGAACUAAGUGGCCUGCUAGAACUUGUCUUAGAGCUUGUCAACAUAGUGAGGUAAUUAAUGCAUACUGUAGGGUAAUUGAAAUCAACAUAUUUGAAAAUGUAGAAAAAAAUCCAAAAAUAUUUAAUAAAUGUCAGUUGGUAUUUUGUUGUUUAACGCUGUGUCUGAGAUCUGUUUUGUUUGGGGAGGAAAGGGCGCUGGCAGCCUCUGUUCUGUAGGAGCUGGGCUCUUUGCAUCCCAGCAGAAUAAUGUACAAGGAAUUUAAGAAAAUGAAUCUCAUUAGGCUUACAGUAGCUCCCUUCUUUGGGUUUCCCUGAGAGAAAGGAUGUAGGACAUGGGAAUUGCAAUUCUGGAUGAGACCAUUGGCCACUUAAUCCAGUAGCCUGUUUCUGACACUGGCUGUCCCUCUGCAAGGUAGCAGGGGAAUUGACUCUUGUUGGAAACUAUAAAUGGAUGGUUUUAAGAAUCGUUGUUAAUGAAGCAGUAGAGCUGAGCUGAGUAAAAUAGAUGAGAUUUUAAUGCUCAGAUUCACUCAGCGUCACAUAUUAAAUAUACCAAAAUGUUUUUUCUUGUAGUGAAUAACAGGCCUACUAGUACUUUAUAGAAUUGUACCCAAUGAAGGAAUCGCAGUGAGGGCAUAGCAAAGUUGGAAAAGCACCUUUAGAAUGGCUGCAUUAUUAUACUGAUUCAGUGUAGUGCCAGUGGUCAGAUCAUUCUCUUAAACCACUGCAUUGAUAUAGCCGCAACAUUGUACUUUCAGUAAACAUAGUGCAUACGCUCUAGGGUUUUUCCAUCAGCAUAGGUAAUCUCCCUCCCCAGAAAGGGUAGCUAGGUCAGUGGAAACUUUUUUUCAUUGACCUCGCGCCACCUAUAACAGGCGUAAGCAGUGUUUCUUAAACUUUUUAAGACUGAGGAAUACCAAACAAUUUUUUUUAUGGGAAACACCAAGGAUUUUUUUGUUGAGCCCCCCCCCCCCCCAAAAAAAAAGGUCGGGGGGGGGGAGGAGAGAUAUUGAGCAAAAAAAAGGUUACCUGCCUCAAAAGGUUGGCCAUUUUGAAUACUGUUGUUCUCCGUGGCACACGGUUUAAGAAACACUGAGCUUAAGUGAACAAAGUUGCAUUUCUCAGCAGUAUCAGUUUUUCAUACUACUAAGGAGGAGAACUAUGCUGAUAUAAAUUUCCAGUGAAGACCUUCCUUUGAAGUGACAGGGAAUACUUAGGGCUUUAUGUCUGCACUAGUUGAGGGCAAGUAUGAAGGAGGUGUACGGCUGUGAGCAUUUUGUGGAAAAUGUUAAUAAAUUUCACAGCAGAGCUUUGGUAAUAGUUAUGAAAUUAAAAGAAUGGCAGUUUAAGUUUGAUUAAGAAAAUAAGAUAUUUACUGUGUGGUUUGUGAAUAGUAAGGAAAAGGUCCAGAAAAAUCAGCAAGUAAAAGAAGGCAAUGAGAAUAAUAAUAUUACUUAUAGUGGGGGCCUGGGAAAGAUGUAUGGUUUAAAGAGCAACCGAUAAAGUGAAAAGCUGCAGUAACAAAACAAAGGAAAACUGUCUUAAAAGAAAUAAGCACAACCCUUCCCACUGUUCUGCUAGUAAGAGGUAGGGCAGGGGAGAUAAGGAAGGCCUUGGAGGAAGGAAAGUAGCAAUGCUAAACUGCUUCAAACUGGUUUUUUUUUUUAAAUUAGCAAGUUAGCUGAAGUGCACAAAGAAAGUUGUGAAUUUGAAGGUUCUUUGUCAGACCUUACCUCCUCGUGCUGGAGCGUGCCAAAACGAGGUCCCUUCCAGUUCUAGUAUUCUGUGAUUCUGAGACAGUUUCCCUAGGUCUGGCCUAUUUCUAAAUACCAGUCACUAGGAAUGUUAGAUAUAAUUUAAUUGAAUAGUCGUGUAACUGCACCAAACCUUAUUGCCUACUCAGUUACUUGAUAGUCCCUGGAUAUGGUGCUGGCAGCUAGUGCACUCCUGGCCCCAUUUCAGGGGGAGCCCCUGCCACCCCGCAAUACUGACUCUGACACAGACAAGCAGUGUGGGAUGGCAACAGCCUCUAUCUGCAGGGGGCCCAAGCUCCCACCCUUUGGGCUCCCUUUGUGGCUCGGUUCUAGCUAUGCAUUUUGCUUAGCUGGAGUUGUGUACCUUAAGCCAACCUUCCUGGUCUAGUACAGACCAGGCCUAGGUGAGUGUCUGCAAUUGGUUAUUCUUCAAAUUCUAUGAAUGUAGUUGCCAGCAGUUAUGACUUACCACACAGCUCUUUCUAAGCAAGCCCAUUUAUUCUUAAAGUGAAAGCAUCAAAGAGAAGACACACAAAACAAUAAAAAUGAUAAAUUAUUAAUAGUAAAAUGUCCCUUCUAAUUCUUUGUAAAUGCAUUAUGCUACCUUAACUAUGUAACUAUUGGAAAAUCAAUUUUAUUAAGUGAUGAAAUGUACAACUUGUAUUUUCAGUAUUAAAAAUAAAAAGAAAUUCAACUGGGGCAUUUAAUUGUAGCUUGAUUUUUUUGGUAUGGUGGACAUAGCUUGGGGGUAUAUAUUAAGGAAAAUUUCCUAUUUGUGGUUAUAAAUUCACAUACGUUUUAAAAGAUCAUUUUGAUUUAAAUUUUUUUCAGUAAAGACAGUGGAGUACUUCUGUGAGUGAAGGAUUGCAGAAUCAGGCCCCAAACAUGUGAUUGCAUAAUUAUGUUUGCUCAUUCGAGUUUGUCAGCUUUUCUCCAGUUCAGAACUAGAAUAUUUUUAAUUAUUUUUCUUUUACAGAAUUUGGUCAGACUUCUCCAAUUAAUCAAUCAUACAUAGUAUGUAAAAUACUAUAUUUUUAAAGCGUGUGUCUUGUUAGAAAAUGACAGCUGUCACUGCAUUUCUCUUAUAAUGAACUCUGAUGGAAAGAAGCUAUGGCUCAUGUGUUUGGUGCAUGCUAAUAAAGUAAUGAUAUUACUAGUAAAUUCAUGGCAUGUUCAAAGCUAGUCUGUCUGACAAUAACCGACUUGCAGAACAACAGCUUACUAAGGUAGUGACAGAAGCGCAUUAGAAGUGUCAUUCAUAGUCUUAACCAGUGAACUGAAAUAUAUUAAUGCUUGUCAGUCACUCUCCUAACCAUAUUUUCUCCCUUUUUUUCUCACUUUCCCCCUCCUCCUGUUUAUCAGUUUGAAACACUUGUACAUUGUGUGCUGGGGUUCAGAUGGUUCUACAUGCAUUUGGGGACAGAUUUUUGAAAACUAAAGGUGUGUGUUGAAAAGUAUCUAAAAAGUUGUACGUGCUGUUACACAACUGCAUGCCCAAAUGGUUCAUUGGGCACCUAAAUUGCUGUCUGAAAUUGCACAUGUAAUUUUGGUAAAUGUAUGCACACUUCUUACACAAUCAAAUUGGGUUUUUUUAUGUGGAUCUGAGCAUCUGCCUUCUGAACAUUUGGCUCUGAAAAUCCAGAUGGACGUUUGCUUCUUCUUAAAAUAGGGUCCAUUUCUUUAAAAUUGUACCAGUGAAGGUGAAUUGGACACAGUAUGAGACAGGAGUACAGAGGAUCAAACAGUGUUGUCACCCUAUUCUGGGAUGUCUCUGUGGGUGCUCCACUGUAGGUACUGGGCUACUUUUCUGGAAGCAGUAUCCGGCUGGACCGCGCAUGUGCCAUGGCAUCUCACGGCAUUUGCGCCCUUUUGCCUGAGUGCGCAGUCUGGCCCCCGCCAGUUCCUCUCGACCACCUCAGGCUGCAGAUGAAAUGAACUGCGCUCUUCUUCAACUUGCCUUGUCAGAGAAGAGAAGAGAGAGAAAUAAGAAAAUUCUAAAAGACUAAAAUAAUCAUUAUGCUGUCGUUGCCUGGGUUUAAAAAGUUCAACUCUUGCCGCGAGGCAAUGCCUGCUUCGGACAGCCAUUCCUCCUGUAUCAGAUGCCACACCCUGCUUCUGCCUCAGAGGAUCAGCCCUCAACGCGCAGGGCCUCGUCUCCUUCAGCAGCGUCGCCAACCAGAUCUUUACCCUCCGUCUUGCAUGACAGAGUCAGCUCUGGAGACAAGCCCACCACUUCUGGCACAGUGAAACCGCGUUCAAAAAUACCCACGGUGCCGAAGCUGACGAAAUCGGGAGAAGCGGCACAGUCUGCAGCACCAAGGAUUGCAUCGGCUCCGCCUGCACCCAAGCCACCGGCACCGAGAGCGUCAUCGGCACCGAUAGCUACAAAAUUGGCAUCGGUGGGCUCUACGGCACUGGACAAUCAUGCAGCACCAGUGAGUGUAGCACCACAUCCAUCCAUGGUCGGCACCGAGACCCCGGCACCGACAAUUCCCCCACGCCGAAGCUGCUCCCGUUCACUAGUUUUUUCUCCGGCACCGUCUCCCUUCUCCACUGGCACCGCAUUCUCCAGCUUACCACGAUAGCCGUCACAGGUCUUCAUGCUCCCCACAACAAUUAUCAUCUCCUUUUCUCACAUCAUACCCUGACCAUGGCAGACAUCACCAUUGUCAUCGCUCCAUCUCUUCUGCUUCCUCCAGAGCUUCUUACAUCAGCGCUCGCUCUCCACACUCUUCCCACAUCCAUCAU